GGCAAUUGUGAUGUCAGCUAGAACUGGGUGAAACUUGCAUGUAGCUAAGAACAUAAAUGUUCCUAGGCAUGUAGGCCUAUCCACCUUUAUUUAGCCACCUGAGGUCUCUUCGAACCGGGCAAGCUGGACAGAACCUUAUGUCCUUGUAUUUUGUGCAUCAAGAUGCACAUCUUCCGGACUGCCAUUCCCUUCAGGAGGUUUUACUCCGAGCAACCCGAAUUUAUUCCUCCGGAGCAUCGCAGAGCCCCACCCAUCAAGCUCCCCCCCGGACGGAGGAUGGGGAUGGGUGAUUGUCUUAUCAUCGUUCCUCUAUAAUGUCCUGGUACUGGGAUACCACAACUCCUUCGGAUUGUACCUCAUCAGUCUCCUCAAUGAGUUUGGGGAGACAAGUUCUAAAACAGGCAAAUUACACUAAGCUCACAUUCCGUUAAUAACAUAACGUUUGUCAUCAGACUGAAACAAUUUCACAUUACACUGUAAACUCAACUGUUGUAACUACACAUUACAACAACUAUUUUGUAUUACCCAAGGGAUUGUGUGAUCAUAUGUGUAAAUGGUGAUACACCUGUAAUUAACAAGUAGUUACCAAACUGCACAAAUGACCUGCUGCUGUACCUACAUGCUAUACAUGGAAACCUGCUAGCUACCUAACCUUAAGACCCACUCUCUGCUGGCCUGUAGCAUGGGUUGGCUCCAUCAGCUACGGCUUCAUCAUGAUCUGUGGGCCCCUGGCUGGGAAGCUGACACUCAGGUACGGGGCCAGCGCGAUCUCCAUUCUAGGAUCCCUCAUUAUCAUGAUCUCCAUAGUGUGCUCAUCCUAUGCACCCAAUCUAGGAACACUGUUCUUCACACAUGGCUUCCUCAGUGGAGUGGGCUCCAGCUUUGCCUUCACCUCAGGUUGGUACAGGGGAGGGAGGAAAUUAGCUAGCAGUUAGUUACACUAUGGAUUCACUGACACUUCCAUCCAUAACUUUUCUAGUUCAUAUUGUAUCUUGUUAGAGGGUAAGCUACAUUGUUGUAUUCUCAAGGUCACGACAGCUAACGCAUUAUCUCACCUUCAUCUCCCACCCCCUCCUGUGGGGCAGGUAUGAUCAUGGUGAGCCAGUACUUCAUCUCCAAGAGCGUUCCCUGGCCACAGGGAUAGUGAUGUCAGGGGGAGCAGCAGGGGCCCUGGUCCAGUCCCCGGCUCCAUCUGUACCUCAUCGAAACCCUGGGCUGGAGGCAGAGUCUCCGAGUGUUCUCAGGCCUCAUGAUUAUCUGUGUCAUCACCGGCUUCACCUCAACCCCAAAGGUGUCACUAGAAGUGUGGUGGAGAAUUUGAAGAACUCUCCCUUGAAGAAGUUUAUUGUGGACCUUGGCCUGUGGAAAGACAAAGUCUUUCUGAUCUGGGUUGCAGCCAAUGGACUGUGUAAAUUUGGAUUCUUCAUUCCAUAUGUCCACUUGGUGAAGCAUGCUGUUCAGCUGGGCAUCCCAGUCCACAGUCGCACUAACAUCAUGCUGUUCCUGGGCUUGACUAGCAUGGUCAGCCGGAUCAUCUUCGGCAGGAUCUGUGACUCAGAGAGAAUCAACAGGCGUACUUUAACCAGGCCUCUGUCUUUGGGUGGGUGGGUUGCCCUUACUCCUAUACCUCAGUCACUGUGACCAUUAGUAAAGCAAUACGACACGAGAGUGUGUGUUUAUGGCGUUUAUUGUCACGACUGUGCUGCAGUCAAAUGUACAAGGUGAAUGCUGCAGACCGUACACAACGUAACACCUGUCUCCUCCUGUGUGUCCUCCUGCUGUGCCAGGUCUGCUGUACAUGUUGAUCCCACUACUCAAAUCCUACGGCUCUCUGGUUGCCUUUGGCUUGUUCCUGGGGAUUGCUGAUGCUGGCAACUACAUCCUACUCCCUGUCCUGACCUUUACCUGAUGGGGGCCGAGAAAAUGCCCAUGGCCUGGGGCUUCAUGCUCACGGUGAACGCUGUCAGCUGCUUGGGCUGCCCUUCGCUGGUUGGAUGAAUGACAUGACAGGAAGCUACAACCUGGGC